rnacentral:lncRNA from 1 species
AAGAUCCUGAACCUAGAGAUACAAAUUUUCAAACAACGUUAAGCUCUCGUCGUCUAAAAAGCAAGGUUCCAUCAUCUCACCAGAGGUCUGUUGUAGAAAGCAGUGCAGGUAAAUCAGUUGCUAAAGUUCUGCUGCCUCAGCCUCUCAAACCUGCAUUGAACGCACAUUCCAGUACUUCUGAUAAGAAAAGCAGAGGCCUGUUAACAAGUACUCCAUCUUCGCAAACACCUGGUUUAGUGAUUGAUUUGUCCUCAGUGCAAAAAGCAUCUUUUGAAGAACUAUUUCCA